rnacentral:rRNA from 1 species
AACGAACGCUGGCGGCAGGCUUAACACAUGCAAGUCGAACGCGUGUACGCAAUACACGAGUGGCGCACGGGUGAGUAACGCGUGGAUAUCUGCCUUUUGGUCGGAAUAACCCCGGGAACUGGGGCUAAUACCGGAUGGGUUCCUUCGGGAUAAAGAUUUAUCGACCAAAAGAUGAGUCCGCGUAACGAUUAGCUAGUUGGUGAGGUAACUGGCCU